rnacentral:rRNA from 1 species
AGUGGUUGUAGACGCGAAACCUUGCGAUCUACCCUUGAGCAGGUUGAAGGUUGGGUAAAACCAACUGGAGGACCGAACGAAUAAGCGUUGAAAAGCUUCUCGAUGACUUGAGGGUAGGGGUGAAAGGCUAAUCAAGCUGGGAAAUAGCUCGUACUCCCCGAAAUGCCUUUUGGGGCAGCGUUGUAAUAAAGAGUCUACUGGAGGUAGAGCUACUGAUUGGAUGCGGGGGCUUCACCGCCUACCAAAUCCUGACAAACUCCGAAUGCCAGUAGUAUGAUUUACAGCAGUGAGUGACUGGGUGCUAAUGUCCAGUCGCAAAAGAGGAACAACUCAGACCAGCAACUAAGGUCCCGAAGAAUAUGCUAAGUUGAUCUAACGAUGUUUUGUUGCAGAGACAGCUAGGAUGUUAGCUUGGAAGCAGCUAUUCAUUCAAAGAGUGCGUAACAGCUCACUAGUCGAGCGACAGAGCGUGGAUAAUAAACGGGCAUCAAGCAUAUCACCGAAGUUCUGGGCGCGAGAGCGCGGUAGGGGAGCAUUCCAUUCAGCGUCGAAGCAGUUUCGUGAGGAAUUGUGGAGCGUAUGGAAAAGCAAAUGUAGGCAUGAGUAACGAUAAUGCGGGAGAGUAACCCGCACACCGCAAGACCAAGGUUUCCUGAUCAACGCUAAUCGGAUCAGGGUUAGUCGGGUCCUAAGGGUAAGCCGAACGGCGAUCUCGAUGGAUAAUCGGUUAAUAUUCCGAUACUAACAUAUACCUCGAUGGAGAGACGAAGGAACGUAAGUGCCGCCACCUGACGGAAUAGGUGGUUAAAGGGCGUAGGUAUAGGGGCAGAUUAAGAGUUAGUCCUUGCUGAAACCUGACAGUACAGAGAGCCUACGGGCAAUUUGAUAGAGCACCCAAGUCGACUUCCGAGAAAAUCUUCUAAGUUAUAGUAUAUGUUACCCGUACCGUAAACCGACACAGGUGGUCGAGGAGAGUAUCCUAAGGUGCUCGAGUGAAUCACGGUUAAGGAACUAGGCAAAUUAACCCCGUAACUUCGGGAAAAGGGGUCCCUAUGAAAGUAGGGCGCAGCGAAGAGGUCCAGGCGACUGUUUAUCAAAAACACAGGGCUCUGCAAAUUCGAAAGAAGACGUAUAGGGCCUGACACCUGCCCGGUGCUGGAAGGUUAAGAGGGGAUGUCAUCGCAAGAGAAGCAUUGAAUCGAAGCCCCAGUAAACGGCGGCCGUAACUAUAACGGUCCUAAGGUAGCGAAAUUCCUUGUCGGGUAAGUUCCGACCUGCACGAAUGGUGUAACGAUCUGGACACUGUCUCAACCGUGAGCUCGGUGAAAUUGUAGUCCCGGUGAUGAUGCCGGGUACCCGCAACGGGACGAAAAGACCCCGUGAACCUUUACUAUAGCUUAACGCUGAAUUUGGGUACACAAUGUGUAGGAUAGGCCGGAGGCUUUGAAGCGGGCACGCCAGUGUUCGUGGAGCCGACGUUGAAAUACGGCCCUUUGUGUAUUUGAGUUCUAACCCUGCGAAGGGGACACCGUUUGGUGGGUAGUUUGACUGGGGUGGUCGCCUCCAAAAGCGUAACGGAGGCUUCCCAAGGUACCCUCAGCACGAAUGGUAACCGUGCGCGGAGUGCAAUAGCAUAAGGGUGCUUGACUGUGAGACAUACAAGUCGACCAGGUACGAAAGUAGGGUAUAGUGAUCCGGUGGUUCUGCGUGGACUGGCCAUCGCUCAAAGGAUAAAAGGUACUCCGGGGAUAACAGGCUGAUCGCCGCCAAGAGCUCAUAUCGACGCGGCGGUUUGGCACCUCGAUGUCGGCUCGUCACAUCCUGGGGCUGGAGAAGGUCCCAAGGGUUCGGCUGUUCGCCGAUUAAAGUGGCACGCGAGCUGGGUUCAGAACGUCGUGAGACAGUUCGGUCUCUAUCUGUUGCGGGCGUAGGAAGAUUGAGGGGUCCUGACUUUAGUACGAGAGGACCGAGUUGGACGAACCUCCGGUGUAUCGGUUAUGCUGCCAAGUGUACUGCCGAGUAGCCGCGUUCGGUCUGGAUAAGCGCUGAAAGCAUCUAAGCGCGAAGCCAUCCCCAAGAUAAGUCUUCCCUUGAGGGGCGUAGGAGACUACUACGUUGAUAGGCUGCAGGUGUAAAGACAGCAAUGUCAAAGCCGAGCAGUACUAAUUACCCGAUAGGCUUUCUUUU